GACGAACGCUGGCGGCGUGCUUAACACAUGCAAGUCGAACGGAAAGGCCCUUCGGGGUCCUCGAGUGGCGAACGGGUGAGUAACACGUGGGUGAUCUGCCCUGCACUUUGGGAUAAGCCUGGGAAACUGGGUCUAAUACCGAAUAUGAUCAUCGGCUUCAUGGUCGGUGGUGGAAAGCUUUUGCGGUGUGGGAUGGGCCCGCGGCCUAUCAGCUUGUUGGUGGGGUAAUGGCCUACCAAGGCGACGACGGGUAGCCGGCCUGAGAGGGUGACCGGCCACACUGGGACUGAGAUACGGCCCAGACUCCUACGGGAGGCAGCAGUGGGGAAUAUUGCACAAUGGGCGCAAGCCUGAUGCAGCGACGCCGCGUGAGGGAUGACGGCCUUCGGGUUGUAAACCUCUUUCAGCACAGACGAAGCGCAAGUGACGGUAGGUGCAGAAGAAGGACCGGCCAACUACGUG
rnacentral:rRNA from 1 species